rnacentral:misc_RNA from 1 species
UCUCCGUAGGUGAACCUGCGGAGGGAUCAUUCCUGAGUGAGGGCCUUCGGGCUCGACCUCCAACCCUUUGUGAACCAAACUUGUUGCUUCGGGGGCGACCCUGCCGCUUCGGCGGUGCGGCGCCCCCGGAGGCCAUUAAACACUGCAUCUUUGCGUCGGAGUUUAAAACAAAUUAAACAAAACUUUCAACAACGGAUCUCUUGGUUCCAGCAUCGAUGAAGAACGCAGC